GGUUGUAGGUUGGCCGGUAUCGUGCGAAGCGCGAUGCGGCCAUGGCAAACGGGUUAGGAACACGUAGGAAUCUGCCUCGAAGUCGCGAAUAACUCGGAGAAAUCCGUGAUAAUACGCGAUGUGCUCUACGGAGUAAAGAUUUAUCGCUUCGAGAGGAGCCUGCGUCCUAUCAGCUAGUUGGUAAGGUAAUGGCUUACCAAGGCUAUGACGGGUAGGGGGUGUGAGAGCAUGGCCCCCAACAUUGGCACUGAGACACUGGCCAAACACCUACGGGUGGCUGCAGUCRAGAAUAUUCCACAAUGGACGAAAGUCUGAUGGAGCGACGCCGCGUGCAGGAAGACGGCCUUCGGGUUGUAAACUGCUUUUCUCAGGGAAGAAUUACGAUGACUGUACCUGAGGAAUAAGAGGUUACUAACUCUGUGCCAGCAGUAGCGGUAAUACAGAGACCUCAAGCGUUAUCCGGAUUAAUUGGGCGUAAAGCGCAGGUAGGCGGACAUGUUAGUCGGAUGUCAAAUAUCCCGGCUCAACCGGGAACAGGCAUUCGAAACGGCAUGUCUAGAGAUAGCGAGAAAUCAGUGGAAUUCACGGUGUAGUAGUGAAAUGCGUUGAUAUCGUGAGGAACACCAAAGGCGAAGGCAACUGAUUAGUGCUGUUCUGACGCUGAGCUGCGAAAGCGUGGGGAGCGAAUGGGAUUAGAUACCCCAGUAGUCCA
rnacentral:rRNA from 1 species